UUAAUUAGUAUGUUAUAAAAUAUAUAAAUUAAUAAUAUAAACCGGAUAAGUUUAAAUGCAUAUUAAAUUUGAAAUAAAUACUCAAAACAUAAAAUAAAUAUAUUAUUGUGUUAUGUGCUUUUCAUAAUUAAAUACUUUGUAAUUUUUAAUAUAAUAUUUUAUAUAAAAUAAAAAGAUAAAAUAUAUACUAUUGUUAAACCAAAAAUAUAAAUGUAAAUAGAUUUUAUAAACAUACAAUUACAAAAAAACAUAAUAUAUAAAUGUGAUAAAUAAUUAAUUUCAAUUAAAAAUAAUAAAAUUAGAAAAUUUAUUAAAACCGAAAACAUAAAAUAAUAUAUAAUAUUAUUUUGGUGUAACAUUUGGUGUUAUGGUUGGAGAUGACAAAUAAAUAUAACAUCAAAAUAUUAAAUUUGGUGUAAAUUUAACAUCAAAUUUGGUAUUAUGGUUGGGUAUGCUCUGUUAUUUUCUUAUAUAUUUGACUAGUUUUUCAUAUGUUGUAUCAAUCUUUAAAUAUAAAUUUUGGGAACAGCAUAAAGAACUAAAUCAAAUCAAUGAUGAACACCUUCUGGCUUCACGUGACAUGCGGUGUUAAAAAAGAUCUUCUGUUCAUAGAAGCUCUCCUAGAUCUUUCCAGUUUUUACACUAUACUAUUGUUUGUUGAAGUCAUGGAUUAAAUCUAGAAGACAUCACUGCUAAUUUGAUAUAUGUACAUGGUUUUUACGUGCUUCCAAGGCAGACCCAUGGAGAAAAUAUCCAAAUAUAUAAGAAAUGAUUUGUAAAAUGUUAGUAUUAUUAGUAGAGUAACAUGGAAUAAUUGAGAGAAAAGAAAAAGAAAAGUUAGAGGAAAAGAGAGAAAAUAUAUAAAUAAUUAUUUUGAUAAAUUUUUAUGUUAUUCUCGAUUUUUCUUGAACGCAGUUUCUUACUUCAGAUUUGUUUCUCUAGUAACGGAGCUAUACAGUCAGCUACAUAUAAAAAUUUGCAGAAAAAACAAUAACAUAUGCUGAUAACAAUUCAAAACUGACACGAUUUCAUACAAUUUCUCUUAUACAAGUCACGUUUUUUGGGUAUGGCAUACAAGUCAAGUUCGGGCUUCCUAAGGUGCUUGAGUCGUCUAGUCGUCUUUUAUAACCUAUAUGUCUUAAACUUUAAUCUAUUGGUAGUCUAUAACAAAUAGAAACGCAUUGACAAGAAAAGGAAACUGUAUUUACCUCAAGUAAAUUAAAUUACGUUCUCAGAGAAAAAAGAAACAUAAAACCAUGAAGAACAUAUAUACAGUCAACAAGGUUACAGCGGGGAGGAUUGAUCAUUUCUGAAAAUUACUGAUAAGAACCUAACAAAGCAUAUACUGUGUAUAUUACAUUUCGAAUGUUGCUCCUCUUUCUGUAUAAAGAGUCACUACUCGCAAUUAUAGUUUGCCAACUAUCUCUCUGCAUUUUUUUUACCCUUGUUGCCUUUUUAGUAACCUAUGCAUAGUUUAAUUAGAGAAAAUAGACUAAAAUACAUUUAUUUUACUGCGAAAAUUUCUAACCACAGAUAUUAACGGCGAAAUACGAGAUCAGUUUAGGCAAUCAUUCGGGUGGGGUGAAAAGCAUCUGUCCAUGCAUCGAGCUCUGCGUUAAACGAAUGAUGUAAGUUAUAAAGAUGCUAUAUUAUUUAUCUUCUAAACCCUACACAGUACACACUCACAUAUAUUCAAUAUAUAGAUAUAACAAAUUAAUCUCUAUAACGAUAUACUAAUGUUUAGAAAAAUAAAUCCGGCUCUAGACAUGAAUUCAACACACGUCAUGGAUAUGUGUCAUGCACACAACGUGUAAUUAUAUGUUUUAAAUAAUAAGUUUUUGUCGUUUAAAAUAUUUUUUGAUAUUAAUUAGUAAGCUAUAAUAUGAAAGUAGUUCUCAAAUAAAAGAAAACUAUAAAGAAAGUAACUGGUCUGAGAAACCAAGUAGAAAGAGGAGUAUGUAAGAAAAAAAACGAAUAAAGAGAAUGUCCCGAACUUGGAGUGCAAAAUAAAAAAAAGUCUUUCUAAAAGCGAAACAAAAGUGUUGACCUUUUUUGCAGUCGAGUUCACACCCCAUUUUCAUGCCUAUAAUCUGAAAACAUAAUAACGUUUUCACUUUUCAUCGACCAUUCUGUAAAAUAACAUUUGACAUUAUUAGAGCAUUUUCGUUCCAACUCUAUAUUUUACUUCAAAAUAAAAUGAAAAAUUAAGUAAUGAAUAAACGUUUUUUUAUCCUUUGUUCGUUACUUUAUUUUUCAUUUCAUUUUAAAGUAAAAUAUGGAAUGGAUUGAAAAUGUUUUUAUACAUACUACAAAAUGCUGAAUUUUUGACAUUAUUCUAAGAAAAAUAUCUUAAUAAAUUCCAAUAUUUAUGUGUGUAAAUUUGUAGCAUGUCAAUGUUCUGGACAGUAAAAUGUUAAGACAAAUUUUAUAUAUUUUUGAUCAAAAAAAAAUAUAUAUAUAUAUAUAAGAAUUGGCUUUACAUUUUAAUUUCCAAAACAAUAAAAUGUUAAGCCAAUUCUUAUAUAAUUUCAAUUAUACUAUUGAUAUUUUCACUAUUCGAUAAAAUCCGAUAUUUUUUAUCGUCAAAUAAUAAUAAUUCAAAUAUAGAAGAAAGAUGUAGAUGGAAAAUCACAGUAAAUUUGUUCUUUUUACCAAUAAAUACAAAUCUACUUUGUUAUCAUGUCUUUUUAAUAUUAAAUUCAACUUGCUUCUAAUGAUUUUUUUUUCAAAAACUGAAAAAAAAUCAAAAUAUAGACCAAAAAAGCAAUUAUCUAUUAACAGAAUAAAAACAACAUUUUAGAAUCAGACUGAUUUUUGUGAAUAUAUACUGUUUUAAAUAUUUAGUGAUUUUAAUAUUCGGAAUUUUUCCAAAAGUGUUUUAAAACAAAAUUUCCAUCCAAAAUCAACAUAUAGAGUUUAUUAACAGUGAUUAAACAUGAACAUAUAGCAAAAGAAGCAAGAACGAGAGGCUAUGCUUUUUCCCAUAUAGAUCAGACCCGGACAGAUGGAGAUGCUCUUCGGAGAAUCGGCACGUCUGUUCUCCACUUGAUCUAGUUUUAGAUGGGUAGACGACAAAAAAAAAAAAAAAAAAAAAAGACUUGCCUUAUUCGAGAAAUGAAUAAGUUGAACUGAUUCAAUAUGAAAAUUACUGAGUUAUGAUAUAAUGUAUGAUAGUUCGGUUGAUUUACAAAUGGAAAUUGAAAAAAUGUGAAAAUUUAAUUGAGAGAAAAUUGAAGGGGAGAGGUAGAUUUUGAGGCAAUAAAUAGUGGAUGGAAUUAUGAGUUGUUGCAGUUAAUACACGCAAGGCAUGCAUUUGUUUUCUCAUCCACACUAAUAAUAAGUUCAUUUUGUAUCGGAGUUGUUCCAUUUGUAAAGUAAAUUCUACCAGUGGGUAGAAUAUAAAAACAAAAAAAAAAUUGAAAACAAGUUGUCAUAAAGGAAUAAAUGAGGCUUUGCAGGUUGUGGGAGUGAUGAGUGCGACAUCUCAAUCGACAGAAGGGAAAUAAGAGUAUGAUUUAUCAUGGUUAAAUAGUCAGAAAGUAAAUAUGAUGUACUUAUAUUACAAAAUUAUGUCAUUUAGUUGUAUUUUUCGUAAUUUAAAGUAACAAAACAAAAUGUUUCAAAAAAAUAGUAACAAAAACAAAAAAGAGAUGAACCUUAUUAUUUAAAUACAUCGUGGAACUUUAAGCGUAUCAUGGUUACUUACUAGGUCAAAAGGUUGAGCUUCUAUGUUAUUCUAGCAUUAAUGUUAUAUUUACAUGAGCCUAGGAUUCUGCAAUCCACUCCAUGGUGGAGUAGUAAAAGGACCCAUCAGUUGAACAUUGCCUCGCACGAACAUAAGUCAGAAAAUUGUUAAUUUUACAUAUUCUCAAAAAUAUAAUACAGUGCACUUCCAAUAAUCCAGUACAAAUAUUUAUAUUUUGUAUAUUUUUGUGAAUAUUCUUUUUGUAUUUCUCGAUUUCUAAAUUUUUCUAUAUAUAAAUAUUACAAAGAAAGCAAUCUGAAUAUAUUUAAAAAUGUUUCGAAAAUCACAAGCAAACAAGCUCUCAUUAUUUAUCUCUCUCUAUUAAUUUCUACUAGCGUCCAAUUAUUUUGGUAUGUGUCGUAAUAUGGCCAAGACAUGAAAAAGUUCGGAGCUGGGAAGAAAAAUGCCAAGCUUGUACGUCCGACCAUUUACGAAUUAAACGAUUUAUACCGUCGGACGUGUGAUCAAAAUAUAUCACUUGUUAACUUGCUACGGAUGCUACUACUAUUAAUUAUGUUAGUUAUUAAACGUGGAUUCUCAUUGACAAAUCAGUGUUUUGUAACAAAAUAGCAUACGUACAGAGUUUUACAAUGUCACGACUUUAAAUUUGAUUGUAACAUUUGAGCAUUUUAAUGAAAAUAAAAAACAGCUAACAACAUUUUUUGCAAAAGUCAUGGACUGAAACCUAUAAUUUAUUUAGUCCAUAGAUAUGAAAUAGUUGUCAAACAAAAUUUUGCAGCUGCUGAGACGUGAACUUAGACUUCUAUCUCUAUAGCAUAAAGGUAUAAAACUUUACCAAUAGAGAUAGCAGCUCCAGGUUAAACUACCCUUUUUAUGCUUGAUUUUGUUAUUUAUCAUGCGUAAUUUUGUUUAAAUUCUUGAUUUUGGUAUUUUAAUGUGAAAUUUAUUCUUUAACACAACUUAUAUCCCAUUAAUAACUAGAGUAUAGCUGGUAAUUAAUUGAACAUCAAAAUGGUUUUCAGAUUGUAUAAUAAAAUAUAUAUCGAGCUAUAUCAAGCUCCAUAUUAAAUUAAGAAAACAAUGGUGCCGUUUAACUUGUGGUCCUGACAAAAAGUAUAGAAAAAUAAAAACGGAAUGGUAGGCAGUAGGCAUCAAAGACAACCCCGUUGAAUUUGCUAAAAAGAAACAAUCAGAAGAAAGUAAAAGAGAAAAACCUCAAACAAAAUCCCUAGAAGUUUAUCGGUUUUCUCGCUUAGAAUUUCAUCUUUCGAAAACUAUCAAAGUGAUUUCGCUAAUUAGAUUUUAAUCGUCCUUGAUAAAACCCCCUUGAGUUUCUUCUAUUUUCAUAAUAUAUUCGUCAUUUAUCCCAUCUUUCUCCUUCACUGUUUUUCUGUUCAUAAUAGUUGUUAGAUCUUAUGUCUUUUCGAAUCCGAAUCUUUAAGUUUCUCAUUUGAUUAAACCCAACAAGUUUCCAGUUUUCGAGACGAGUGUUAUUAAUCUUCUCCGUAGCUUUGUGACAACAGAAUCUAGGGUUUCGGUCUUUUUCUUAUAAAAAAUAUUUCUUUCUUACUAGUAUUUUUUUGGGUUUAAAUGUUGAAUUUUUGGUUCAUAAAUUUCUUGAUAUACAACAACAACUGUACAUCACCAUCAUUAAGAGAAACCCGUCUGCCUCUUUUCAUAACCUCAUAAAUAUUCCAACCAUUCCAUGUCUCGCUUCUCUCAUCUGUUGUUCUCUAAAGGAACGAGUGAAAAGAGUUUGGAUCUUUAAGCUUUUUGAUCAUGUGGGUUUGACAAAAGAGUUUCUUACAGAGAUCUUUGGCAUUCUGUCCACCUCCCCUACCUAUGUAUAUGUGUAUUAUCUACGUUGUGUUUUGUGAGGGGGAGGUGGGCAUACUGCCAACAGAGAUCUGUUAGGGUUUCUUUGUAAAACCCCUCAUGAUUUGUUGUAUUCAAGAUAAGGCAUUGGCUCGUGUUGAUCAAGAUGACUUGAUGAACACUAAGAUCUAGGUUUGAGGAAAAAUGGUAUUAUCUCGGAUAUACUCAACCUUAAUUAUUAUGUAUGAUCACUACAUCUUAGUAUUUUAUUAAGUCAAUUUCACUUGUCAAUUCCAAUCUCCUUUGAUUUGGUUGAUCUCGACGAAGUUCUUAGCUUUCAUUGGCUGAGACUCUAAUCUGUUGGUGGGUUUAUAAGACUGGAUACGUUCAUCACAUUUGCUUGUAAAUAAACUCGCAUCUUUUUAAUUUCAAUGGCGUUGACCAGUGUGAGGUUAGUUUGGGAGUAGUGGUGGCGUCUGAGAAGUUUACAUCAUCUAGGAAAGGUAAGCUAUUCAUGAAAAAUGAGGACCCAUUACUCAAAAAGGUACAUGUAGAUUGAAAUCAUAGGGGAAUGUGGUAAUGGAAAAGGAGAAUUUACUCUACCUUUUUAUGUUUUUGAAGCCCACACAAUGUUAUCAUGAUGUCUUGUUUUCUUGAAGUUGGAAUCUAUGUUCAUAGAAAGUGGUUACUUGUGUCUGUGUAAAAUGGCAUGUUUUAUGUGACGAUAGUGUUCAACCUGAUAAAUGGACGGAGAAAUCCCAUGUUCAAUCUUAAAAUAGCUAUUUUUAUAUUCUUACACUCUUGAAUAUUGUAGUCUUAUUUUUAUGUUUAAGUUAUUAUUACCACAAAAUGGAUUUACCAUUAUACUUUAUUCAUAUUUUCUCCACUACAUUUCUAAAUAUGAAACGAAGAAUGAGACCGGGUUGUAGACAAACUUCAUACUAAAUUUGUCUUCUUUAUGUUGAUUUUUCAUUUAUUUGGUUUUAGAUGGUUCAAAACUGUGGUGUAGAUUUUCUUGCGUUAUUAGAUUAACCAAGAAGCUAGCUGCUGUUUUAUGGCGGAUAGGUGAAACAAUAAAAUUGCCAGUGUUACAUACAUGCAUUGCAUUUGAUUUUAGUCUAUAUUUUUUAAUUAAGAAAAAUAACAGUUGGAUACAAUCGUGUGGUGAUAUGAUCUUCCGUGACUGUGUAGAUAUGUAUAGUGCACAACGUCUUUGAUGUGUGCCUACGGUUCUACGGAUAGGGUAUAGAUUUAUACAUUUAUAUGAAUAAUGGAAAAAUAUUAUCCUCAUCAUUGGGGUUGUGUCAGUUCCAUUUAAAUUUUCCUUUCAAGGCAAUCGCUAACUUUAUAAUCUUUCUCUUCGCUUUGUCUAUCUCCAUUUCACCUUUGCAUUUUACGUGAUUUGCACGAAUAGGGCAGACGUCCUAACUCGGUAAGUUUUAUCAUUAUUCUACUUGAUUCCUUAGUAAUUAGGCCUAUUGGGUUUUGACCCGUUAUCAAAACCCAAUUCAAAAUUUUGAGAAGUUUUUGAACCACAACUGACUUAUGAGGGUCAAGUGGUCAAAGCCAAUUCACCAGAGAUUUCCCGUCUCUAUAAUUAUACACUGCCAAAUGAUACUCUUACUGA